rnacentral:rRNA from 1 species
GACGAACGCUGGCGGCGUGCUUAACACAUGCAAGUCGAACGAGAAUCUACUGAAAGAGUUUUCGGACAAUGGCAGUAGAGGAAAGUAGCGGACGGGUGAGUAACGCGUGAGGAACCUGCCUUGAAGAGGGGGACAACAGUUGGAAACGACUGCUAAUACCGCAUGAAGCAUAGGGGUCGCAUGAUUCUUAUGCCAAAGAUUUAUCGCUUCAAGAUGGCCUCGCGUCUGAUUAGCUGGUUGGCGGGGUAACGGCCCACCAAGGCGACGAUCAGUAGCCGGACUGAGAGGGUGAACGGCCACAUUGGGACUGAGAUACGGCCCAGACUCCUACGGGAGGCAGCAGUGGGGAAUAUUGGGCAAUGGGCGCAAGCCUGACCCAGCAACGCCGCGUGAAGGAAGAAGGCUUUCGGGUUGUAAACUUCUUUUAAGAGGGAAGAGCAGAAGACGGUACCUCUAGAAUAAGCCACGGCUAACUACGUG